AGAGUUUGAUCCUGGCUCAGGAUGAACGCUGGCGGCGUGCCUAACACAUGCAAGUCGAGCGAUUUUCUUCGGAGAAGAGCGGCGGACGGGUGAGUAACGCGUGGGUAACCUGCCCUGUACACACGGAUAACAUACCGAAAGGUAUGCUAAUACGGGAUAAUAUAUAAGAGUCGCAUGACUUUUAUAUCAAAGAUUUUUCGGUACAGGAUGGACCCGCGUCUGAUUAGCUUGUUGGCGGGGUAACGGCCCACCAAGGCGACGAUCAGUAGCUGACCUGAGAGGGUGAUCGGCCACAUUGGGACUGAGACACGGCCCAGACUCCUACGGGAGGCAGCAGUGGGGAAUAUUGCACAAUGGGGGAAACCCUGAUGCAGCAACGCCGCGUGAGUGAUGACGGUCUUCGGAUUGUAAAGCUCUGUCUUUGGGGACGAUAAUGACGGUACCCAAGGAGGAAGCCACGGCUAACUACGUGCCAGCAGCCGCGGUAAUACGUAGGUGGCGAGCGUUAUCCGGAAUUAUUGGGCGUAAGGGGAGCGUAGGCGGAUAAUUAAGUGGGAUGUGAAAUACUCAGGCUCAACCUGGGGGCUGCAUUCCAAACUGAUUAUCUAGAGUGCAGGAGAGGAGAGUGGAAUUCCUAGUGUAGCGGUGAAAUGCGUAGAGAUUAGGAAGAACACCAGUGGCGAAGGCGACUCUCUGGACUGUAACUGACGCUGAGGCUCGAAAGCGUGGGGAGCAAACAGGAUUAGAUACCCUGGUAGUCCAUGCCGUAAACGAUGAAUACUAGGUGUGGGGGUUUCAACACCUCCGUGCCGCCGCUAACGCAUUAAGUAUUCCGCCUGGGGAGUACGGUCGCAAGAUUAAAACUCAAAGGAAUUGACGGGGACCCGCACAAGCAGCGGAGCAUGUGGUUUAAUUCGAAGCAACGCGAAGAACCUUACCUACACUUGACAUCCCUUGCAUUACCCUUAAUCGGGGAAAUCUCUUCGGAGACAAGGUGACAGGUGGUGCAUGGUUGUCGUCAGCUCGUGUCGUGAGAUGUUGGGUUAAGUCCCGCAACGAGCGCAACCCCUAUUGUUAGUUGCUACCAUUAAGUUGAGCACUCUAGCGAGACUGCCUGGGUUAACCAGGAGGAAGGUGGGGAUGACGUCAAAUCAUCAUGCCCCUUAUGUGUAGGGCUACACACGUGCUACAAUGGCAAGUACAGAGAGACGCAAAACCGUGAGGUCGAGCAAAUCCCUUAAAACUUGUCCCAGUUCGGAUUGUAGGCUGAAACUCGCCUACAUGAAGCCGGAGUUGCUAGUAAUCGCGAAUCAGAAUGUCGCGGUGAAUACGUUCCCGGGUCUUGCACACACCGCCCGUCA
rnacentral:rRNA from 1 species